rnacentral:rRNA from 1 species
CAGUAGCCGCGGUAAUACGUAGGUGGCAAGCGUUGUCCGGAAUUAUUGGGCGUAAAGGGCUCGCAGGCGGCUUCUUAAGUCUGAUGUGAAAGCCCCCGGCUCAACCGGGGAGGGUCAUUGGAAACUGGGAAACUUGAGUGCAGAAGAGGAGAGUGGAAUUCCACGUGUAGCGGUGAAAUGCGUAGAGAUGUGGAGGAACACCAGUGGCGAAGGCGACUCUCUGGUCUGUAACUGACGCUGAGGAGCGAAAGCGUGGGGAGCGAACAGGAUUAGAUACCCGAGUAGUCCCUGUCUCUUAUAC